CCCUCUUCUGCCUUAUACCGUUACUUGGUCCAGACUUGGACUGAGAGACACAUCUUACCCUUUCAAAAGAAUGCAGCCCAGUACUUUUCAGCUAUUUCACCAAAGAAAGAAGAAAAGGGCCCAGAGGAAACAAGAAGUACACAGGUCUGCCAGGAUCAGGAUCUCAGGGUAACACUAUAAUUGGGUUCUAAUGAGAGGCCUCUUCUUGGCUGCAGACUACCAACUUCUCAUGGUAUCCUCAUGUCAGAAAAGAGUGCAAGCUAGCUCUUUUUGUAAAGGAAAAUCCUUUUUGUAAGGAUUCUAAUCCCAUCUAGGGAACUCUACCUUUAUGGCAUAAUAACAUCCAAAGCCCUAUCUUUAAAUACUGGGGGUUGGGGUUUUAGCAUAUGAACUCAGGGAGGACACAUACAGACAGUCCAUACUAAUGUAUCUUUUCAUUUAUUUAAGUAUUACUCAAAUUCCUUGUAAAUUUGAGUUUUAGUGUAAAGCCUUACAAGCUGCUUAAGUUUUUGGCACAAUAGUAUAUAGCAUGUGUUGUAAUCAGCUGCAAGGAAAGUCUCCAAAGAUUUUCACUUCUUACUAUGUUUGUCCUUGAAUGGGUAUUCCCCACUGAAUACAGAUGCCUGCCUGUGUAUCCAGGGUACAUGGGGAUGACUGAUGGCCCUGCAGGGCUUGACUUCUCUUUUGGAUCCCUCUCUUUGGAUGAAGUAGCUGCCAUGCCAUGGGACAGCUGAGAGACCCUGCAGAGAGGUAGAUGCUGUGGGGGAAUGAAGCCUCUUGCCAACAUCCAGCAUCAUCUUGCCAGCUACCAGAACCUUGAAAGGCAGCUCUUCCAGCCCAUUUAGAAUACUGACAUUCAGAGUGACAUCUAGACUGCAACCCCUUGAGAGACCCCAUGCCUGAAUCACCCAGCUAAUUGUUCUCCAGUUCCUCAUCUACAGAAACAGCUUGAUAUAAUGAAUGUUUAUUAUAGAUUUAGCCAUUAAACUUGUGAUGAUUUUCUAUGCAGUAAGAGAUAAU